rnacentral:rRNA from 1 species
UACGAAGGGCGCUAGCGGUGUUCGGAAUCACUGGGCGUAAAGCGCACGUAGGCGGACGUGUCAGUCAGGGGUGAAAUCCCGGGGCUCAACCUCGGAACUGCCUUUGAUACAGCACGUCUUGAGUCCGGAAGAGGUGGGUGGAAUUCCUAGUGUAGAGGUGAAAUUCGUAGAUAUUAGGAAGAACACCGGUGGCGAAGGCGGCCCACUGGUCCGGUACUGACGCUGAGGUGCGAAAGCGCGGGGAGCAAACAGG